UAAGACAUGCCACCCUGUGAGAACCAGG
rnacentral:piRNA from 1 species